UGGGGUUGUGGUGUAAUGGUAGCACAUCGAGCUUUUAACUCGUUUCGUGGGGGUUCGAAUCCCUCCAAUCCCAUC
rnacentral:tRNA from 1 species